GUAGAUGUGGACACGAGCAAAUUGCCUGGAUUUCAAGGGUUGUCGAUAAUGCCACGAACAAAAUUUGUAAUCAGGGGGUCCCGGGUUCGAACCCUGGCGGGGGCACCA
rnacentral:tRNA from 1 species